UGCAAGGCGGUUUGUGUUGCCCGGCCCGGGCUGGAUGGGUGGAGCCGGGGCAGCCAUUUCGAACACGGCCUUUAAUAUCGCCCCACUCGUUCUGCUCUUUCCCGGCAUUUUCCGACAGAGCUGUGCUUAUCGAGGUUUGACUCUGUGCCCAAGCUCUGCAUUCCAGGCAGCCAGUCGUACACGUCUGCACCGUGCCCAGCCCAUUUUGGGGUUACAGCUGUUGGAGUUAGUGGGGAAAAAUGUGUUGUCAUAUGGAAUAGCCUCAUUUAUUUUGACAAAAACCAGUCUUCAUGGUAUGAAGGUCCUGUUAAACUUAUCCGCUGUGAUGAAUCGACACAGGACUCUUUCCAGCAUGUCAUGCUCGUGUGGAAGCCUUUGCACCCUGGCAGGACCUGCCAACUGAUGCUGGCAGCCCCACACUUCCAGGAGGGUGAGCAGAGGAGCUGUGUGAGGCAGGAGCAGCAGGCUGGUGCCUCUGGAAGGAGCUGGCUGUGCUGCCCAUCCCAGAGCAGGAGUGCCACACGUGCAGUCUGGGAGCACCACAGAGGUGACAGAUGUGCAGCAGCUCUGGUGCCUGUAAAAAUACCAGUUGCUGUGCAAACACUGUGCAGCCAAAGAAGGGCUGCUUCUCUCUCUAAGUGUUCUUGAACAAAACCCUUCUAGGGGGUGUGCUGUGGGAGCAUGGCAAAGGCCAGGACUUCCAGAACUGGAGAGAUUCCCUGCCUUGAAGGAUCUCUUCACAGCCAGCACAGAACUGGAAAAUCUUAGAAUGGCCUGGGUUGGAAGGGAUCUUAAAGCCCAUCUCAUUCCCACCCUCCUGCCAUGGGCAGGGACACCUUCCACUAUCCCAGGUUGUUCCAGCCCCAUCCAGGCUGGCCUUGGACACUUCCAGGGGUCGAGGGGUAGCCACAGCUGCUCCGAGCACCCUGUGCCAGGGCCUCACCACUCUCACAGGGAGUAUUUCUUCCCAAUAUCUAAUCUAAACCUACUUCUGUCAGUCUUAAACCAUUCCCCCUUGUUCUGUCUCUCCAGGCCCCUGUAAAAAGCUUCUUUCCAUCUUUCUUGUGGGCUCCUUGCAGGUACUGGGAGGUCAAAAUGGACUUUCUGUGCACCUAAGACAGACCUGGACAGAGCUGUACUA